rnacentral:piRNA from 1 species
UGCUAACUCUUAGUCCUAAAUAUUGUUGCA